CAGGAAAAUGCUCUGAACCUAAAGCAAUUUUUCCUGGCCGAGACGGUUGCUUUCUGGAAGUGUUGAUAAUGAUGUGUGGCUCUGACGAGUGACAGCUUUUGAAGCACGUGGGUCUCCCCAGGAAGGCAGUGCAACUGCCUUGCAAGGGGUUAAACCAAGUGAUCUCAGAUCUGCACCAGAGAAUAAUGGUUAUGGAUCAAGAUAAAAAUGACACUGAAGAUUUGCAAAUCAGUAGUAAGAUCUCUUGCUGGCCGCAGCAGGGCUUGUAGAAGUGACGUGGCCAAAGUCAUGGGGGAGCUGCUGGCAGGGCCGGGAGCAGGGUCAACGCUCCAGACUCGCCUCUCCCCUCUUCUCCCAAGGACCUAAAGCUGCCUCAGGGCUCUGCAGGCUGGGAAAAGGGGAAGAACAGCAUCUAAUAAAGUCUGUUCCUGGGCAUGAAAAUAUUUUAAC
rnacentral:lncRNA from 1 species